UUUCCGUAGGUGAACCUGCGGAAGGAUCAUUCAUAAUAAGUGUUUUAUGGCACUUUUUUAAAUCCAUAUCCACCUUGUGUGCAAUGUCAGGGUUGAUUCUUCUCUCGAGAGGAUCGGCCCCAAACAUCAACUAUAUCUCAACUCUUUGUCUGAAAAAUAUUAUGAAUAAAACAAUUCAAAAUACAACUUUCAACAACGGAUCUCUUGGCUCUC
rnacentral:misc_RNA from 1 species